GGGGAUGUUCCGAAUUCGACUGGAUGGAAAAGGGAGAGUAUAAGCAUACCGUAGGACUCGGCUACGUUAAAACGAUAAAACAAAUUUAAAUGCGAAUAAUAAUCAAUUUGCACUCGCUGCUUAAUUAACGCGGCGAUGUCGGUUUACGGAGAUCCCGUCGGCUGUAAACCGGCAUAAUUUAAGGCGGGGAACGGCUUUUGCGUUCUGAUUGCGGCGCAACGGCGGCACUUAGUAAUUUACGGCGGAAACAGUCGGUAUACAGAUAGUUUCCGCAAGAGAUUUAAAGUAUACUAAGUAUGUAGAAGGCUUUUCGGUUUUUAUUCAACACAUGGGUUUGACUCCCAUCAUCUCCACCA
rnacentral:tmRNA from 1 species